rnacentral:rRNA from 1 species
CAGAACGUCGUGAGACAGUUCGGUCCCUAUCUGUCGUGGGCGUAGGAAAUUUGAGAGGAGCUGUCCUUAGUACGAGAGGACCGGGAUGGACGUACCGCUGGUGCACCAGUUGUUCCGCCAGGAGCAUGGCUGGGUAGCUACGUACGGACGGGAUAAGCGCUGAAAGCAUCUAAGCGUGAAGCCCCCCUCAAGAUGAGAUUUCCCAAUUAGUAAGACCCCUUGAAGACGACGAGGUAGAUAGGU